AAAAAACACAACCACCAUGGCCGGCGGAGAAGCCACCGCCGUUGCCGGAGACCACCCUAUUGCCACCCUACUACGGCUACUCCAUGAGGUGUCACAGAUCUCAAUUGCUGGAUUUUAUGGUAAAUUCAAGAAAGAUUGUACAGAUUUAGCAAGAAGAGUUACACUUUUGGCUCAUUUGUUUGAUGAGUUAAAAGACACAAAUACCCUUUUGGGUUCUUCAUCUUCUUCAUUCAAUUCUUGUUUUUCUGAUCUCUCUGUUGCUCUUCAAGCUGCAAAACAACUACUUUUAGCAGCUAAUGAACUUGAUCCCAAGAUCCACUCUGAUGUCGCAGUGAAGAAAAUAAACUUCCGGUUUCAAUGUGUUACAUGGAAAUUGGAGAAAGCCCUUGGUAACUUCCCAUAUGAUCAUUUUGACAUAUCAGAAGAAGUACAAGAGCAGGUUGAAUUGGUCAGAGCACAGUUGAGACGAGCCACAGAAAAGUAUGGUGGCCCUGUGAAGUCAAACUUAUUAUCUCGAGCAUCGUCACAACCACUGGAUAAAGAGAUUGAUCUACUCCAUUCAGGAAAUAGUGGAAUUGGAACUUUACAUAUAGAAAAUAUUGGCAAUAUUGAUCAUGAAGUUAGGCCAAAAGUUGGACGUGUUCCUCGAGGUAGUGUUCGAAACCAAAGUUAUUGCAGUCGGAUUUUUCAGGAGUCGGAAAGAAUAGGAAAUUCAUCCAAAUUGUCUGGUAUUGGUGAUCCGGAGAUUUUCGGGGAAGAUGACUCUCCGCUUAAGAGUCACGAGGAGAGUAAAAAGUCCAACUGUCCUGUAACUCCUACAGAGUUUAUUUGCCCUAUAUCCCUUGAGCUCAUGAGGGAUCCUGUUAUUGUGGCUGCCACAGGGCAGACUUAUGAGAGAUCGUACAUACAACAAUGGAUAGAUGGCGGCCACACAACAUGCCCAAAAACUCAGCAACAGCUCCACAAUCUCACGCUUACCCCAAACUAUGCUCUGCGAAAUCUAAUUAUCGAUUGGUGUGCAAAGAACAAUAUACAACAGCCAACCGUAUUUGCAAAUGGGAAAAUAAAGAGAAGUGAUGGAUCAUUUCGCUAUGUUAUUGGGGAAAUAGGAGCUAUGGAGGUACUUGUCCGAAAGCUUUCAAGCAGGUCCGUGGAGGAUUGCAGGGCUGCAGUAGCCGAGAUCCGUUCACUUUCCAAAAGAAGCACAGACAACAGAAUUUUGAUUGCUGAAGCGGGAGCAAUUCCAGUCCUAGUUAAGUUGUUGACAUCUGAAGACACGCAAAUCCAAGAGAAUGCAGUCACUGCCGUUCUUAACCUUUCUAUAUUCGAUGACAACAAAAGGAUUAUAAUGCUAUCUGAUGCCAUUCCUUCUAUCGUUCAAGUUCUCAGAGCGGGGAGCACGGAGGCAAAAGAGAAUGCAGCCGCAACCAUUUUUAGUUUGUCGCUUGGAAACGAGAAUAAAAUACUAAUAGGCGCGUCAGGAGCCAUACCAGCUCUCAUAGAUUUGCUUCUGUCAGGAAAUACCAGAGGAAAAAAAGACGCUGCAUCAGCAUUGUUUAAUUUGUGCAUAUAUCAAGGAAACAAGGGUCGAGCUGUUCGUGCAGGGAUUAUACCAGCGCUGCUGGAAAUGCUAACGGAUUCAAGCAGCUGCAUGGUCGAUGAACCUUUGACCAUUCUUUCUGUCCUAGCUAACAACCAAGAGGCUAAGGAGGCCAUAGCAAAAACUAGCACAAUCCCAGUAUUGAUAGAUCUUCUUAGGACAGGUCUAUCUCGUAGUAAAGAGAAUGCAGCUGCCAUCUUACUCUCGUUGUGCAAGAGAGAUUCCGAGAACCUUUCUUGCCUUUGUAGGCUCGGUGCUGUUAUACCUCUUACACAGCUCACAAUGAGUGGCACGGAGAGGGCCAAGAGGAAGGCGACUUCACUGUUGGAGCAUAUUAGAAAGUCUCAGCAACAUAGCACGCGCAUUUAGGUACUUCUCGUUAUUUAUCCUUUCAUUCAGAUCUGACCACGAAUAUUACACGUUAUCUUUUACAGUGUGAUCGACUUAAAACAAGCAUGAG
rnacentral:misc_RNA from 1 species